rnacentral:rRNA from 1 species
UGCCGGAGUUAACACAAUAAGUAAUCCACCUGGGGAGUACGACCGCAAGGUUGAAACUCAAAGGAAUUGACGGGGGCCCGCACAAGCAGUGGAGUAUGUGGUUUAAUUCGAAGCAACGCGAAGAACCUUACCAGGUCUUGACAUCCUUGGACCGCUUAAGAGAUCAAGUUUUCCCUUCGGGGACCGAGUGACAGGUGGUGCAUGGUUGUCGUCAGCUCGUGUCGUGAGAUGUUGGGUUAAGUCCCGCAACGAGCGCAACCCUUGUUGCUAGUUGCUACGAAAGAGCACUCUAGUGAGACUGCCGUUGACAAAACGGAGGAAGGUGGGGAUGACGUCAAAUCAUCAUGCCCCUUAUGACCUGGGCUACACACGUACUACAAUGGCCGUAAACAGAGGGAGGCGACACCGCGAGGUGAAGCGAACCCCCAAAAACGGUCCCAGUUCAGAUUGCAGGCUGCAACUCGCCUGUAUGAAGUCGGAAUUGCUAGUAAUCGCAGAUCAGCAUGCUGCGGUGAAUACGUUCCCGGGCCUUGUACACACCGCCCGUC